CGUAGGGCGGAGCGUUGUCCGGAAUCAUUGGGCGUAAAGAGCGUGUAGGCGGCCCGGUAAGUCCGCUGUGAAAACCCGGGGCUCAACCCCGGGCGUGCAGUGGAAACUGCCGGGCUAGAGGGCGGCAGAGGCGAGUGGAAUUCCCGGUGUAGCGGUGAAAUGCGCAGAUAUCGGGAGGAACACCGGUAGCGAAGGCGGCUCGCUGGGCCGUUCCUGACGCUGAGACGCGAAAGCUAGGGGAGCGAACAGGAUU
rnacentral:rRNA from 1 species